rnacentral:rRNA from 1 species
UUCCUCCUACGGGAGGCAGCAGUGAGGAAUAUUGGUCAAUGGUCGGGAGACUGAACCAGCCAAGCCGCGUGAGGGAAGACGGCCCUAUGGGUUGUAAACCUCUUUUGUCGGAGAACAAAACCCGGGACGUGUCCCGGACUGCGUGUAUCCGAAGAAAAAGCAUCGGCUAACUCCGUGCCAGCAGCCGCGGUAAUACGGAGGAUGCGAGCGUUAUCCGGAUUUAUUGGGUUUAAAGGGUGCGCAGGCGGAAGAUCAAGUCAGCGGUAAAAUUGAGAGGCUCAACCUCUUCGAGCCGUUGAAACUGG